rnacentral:rRNA from 1 species
UGGGGAAUAUUGGACAAUGGGCGCAAGCCUGAUCCAGCCAUGCCGCGUGAGUGAUGAAGGUCCUAGGGUUGUAAAGCUCUUUCACCGGUGAAGAUAAUGACGGUAACCGGAGAAGAAGCCCCGGCUAACUUCGUGCCAGCAGCCGCGGUAAUACGAAGGGGGCUAGCGUUGUUCGGAUUUACUGGGCGUAAAGCGCACGUAGGCGGACUAUUAAGUCAGGGGUGAAAUCCCGGGGCUCAACCCCGGAACUGCCUUUGAUACUGGUAGUCUUGAGUUCGAGAGAGGUGAGUGGAAUUCCGGGUGUAGAGGUGAAAUUCGUAGAUAUUCGGAGGAACACCAGUGGCGAAGGCGGCUCACUGGCUCGAUACUGACGCUGAGGUGCGAAAGCGUGGGGAGCAAACAGG